GACGAACCGUGCGAACGUUGUUCGGAAUCACUGGGCUUAAAGGGCGCGUAGGCGGGCUGGUCGGUCAGGGGUGAAAUCCUUCGGCUUAACCGGAGAACAGCCUUUGAUACCGCCAGUCUCGAGGGAGGUAGGGGCAUGUGGAACUUCCGGUGGAGCGGUGAAAUGCGUAGAUAUCGGAAGGAAGACCAGUGGCGAAGGCGGGUCUCUGGACAGUUCCUGACGCUGAGGCACGAAGGUCAGGGGAGCAAACGGG
rnacentral:rRNA from 1 species